UUAGGGUUUCGCCCGGUGUGCUCUUGUUGUCAAGAUGGAAUUUUUGUAUCGUGCUUGAUAUGUUCUCCCACACAUGCGUAUUGAUGAUUGAUAGGACUGUGAUGCCACUGUGCUGGUACAAGUCUCUUGAUGUGAUGUACGGGAAUAACUCACCGAGGAUGUGAAUGUGUAAUCUACGUAGUAGGUAAAACUUACUUCUUGAUUCCUCGUACAUAGGUACGGGUCCGCAUAAUGUUGUGGCCAUUGUGCCAGGAAUUGAGCCGAAUAUUUCAUAUCAUUUGUGGCCUUUGUGUCGGGCCUUGUAUCGAUUACUUCUGUUUGGAUGAUGGCCUUGUGCAU